GACGAACGCUGGCGGCGUGCUUAACACAUGCAAGUCGAACGGAAAGGCCCUGCUUUUGUGGGGUGCUCGAGUGGCGAACGGGUGAGUAACACGUGAGUAACCUGCCCUUGACUUUGGGAUAACUUCAGGAAACUGGGGCUAAUACCGGAUAGGAGCUCCUGCUGCAUGGUGGGGGUUGGAAAGUUUCGGCGGUUGGGGAUGGACUCGCGGCUUAUCAGCUUGUUGGUGGGGUAGUGGCCUACCAAGGCUUUGACGGGUAGCCGGCCUGAGAGGGUGACCGGCCACAUUGGGACUGAGAUACGGCCCAGACUCCUACAGGAGGCAGCAGUGGGGAAUAUUGCACAAUGGGCGGAAGCCUGAUGCAGCAACGCCGCGUGCGGGAUGACGGCCUUCGGGUUGUAAACCGCUUUCGCCUGUGACGAAGCGUGAGUGACGGUAAUGGGUAAAGAAGCACCGGCUAACUACGUG
rnacentral:rRNA from 1 species